GACGAACGCUGGCGGCGUGCUUAACACAUGCAAGUCGAACGGGCCUGUCUUCUUUUUUGGGGGGUGGGUUGAGUGGCGAACGGGUGAGUAUCACGUGAGUAACCUGCCCUUCGGUCCUGGAUAACCGCUUGAAAGGGCGGCUAAUACGGGGUGGUCCGGUUGGUCCGCAUGGGCUGGUCGGGAUAGAUUCACUGUUUUUGGUGUUUCGGCGGGGGAUGGGCUCGCGGCCUAUCAGCUUGUUGGUGGGGUGAUGGCCUACCAAGGCGGUGACGGGUAGCCGGCAUGGGGGGGUGGGCGGCCACACUGGGACUGAGAUACGGCCCAGACUCCUGCGGGAGGCAGCAGUGGGGGGUAUUGCACAAUGGGCGGAAGCCUGAUGCAGCGACGUCGCGUGAGGGAGGGAGGCCUUCGGGUUGUGAACCUCUGUUUCCGGUGGUGAAGGCCCUGUCCGUGUGGUGGGGUUGACGGUAGCCGGGGAUGAAGCGCCGGCUAACUACGUG
rnacentral:rRNA from 1 species